ACACGACUACAUUAGAUACCCGUGUAGUCCAGGGUGUAAACGCUGCGGGCUUGGUGUUGGGGGUCCUUUGAGGGCGCCCAGUGCCGGAGAGAAGUUGUUAAGCCUGCUGCUUGGGGAGUACGUCCGCAAGGAUGAAACUUAAAGGAAUUGGCGGGGAGCACCGCAACGGGAGGAGCGUGCGGUUCAAUUGGAUUCAACGCCGGACAACUCACCAGGAGCGACGGUUACAUGAAGGCCAGGCUGAUGACCUUGCCUGAUUUUCCG
rnacentral:rRNA from 1 species